rnacentral:rRNA from 1 species
ACGGAUAAAAGGUACUCCGGGGAUAACAGGCUGAUACCGCCCAAGAGUUCAUAUCGACGGCGGUGUUUGGCACCUCGAUGUCGGCUCAUCACAUCCUGGGGCUGAAGUCGGUCCCAAGGGUAUGGCUGUUCGCCAUUUAAAGUGGUACGCGAGCUGGGUUCAGAACGUCGUGAGACAGUUCGGUCCCUAUCUGCCGUGGGCGUUGGAUGAUUGAAGGGAGUUGCUCCUAGUACGAGAGGACCGGAGUGAACGAACCUCUGGUGUUCGGGUUGUCACGCCAGUGGCACUGCCCGGUAGCUAAGUUCGGAAUCGAUAACCGCUGAAAGCAUCUAAGCGGGAAGCGAGCCCUGAGAUGAGUCAUCCCUGACCCCUUGAGGGUCCUAAAGGGCCGUUGGAGACCACAACGUUGAUAGGUGGGGUGUGUAAGCGCAGUGAUGUGUUGAGCUAACCCAUACUAAUUACCCGUGAGGCUUAACCAUACAACACCCAAGAAGUGUUCUG